CCUACGGGAGGCAGCAGUAAGGAAUAUUGGUCAAUGGACGAAAGUCUGAACCAGCCAUGCCGCGUGAAGGAUUAAGGCCCUCUGGGUUGUAAACUUCUUUUAUCUGGGACGAAAAAAGGGUAUUCUUACUCACUUGACGGUACCAGAGGAAUAAGCACCGGCUAACUCCGUGCCAGCAGCCGCGGUAAUACGGAGGGUGCAAGCGUUAUCCGGAUUUACUGGGUUUAAAGGGUGCGUAGGUGGGCUUGUAAGUCAGUGGUGAAAUCUCCGGGCUUAACCCGGAAACUGCCAUUGAUACUAUAGGUCUUGAAUUAUCUGGAGGUAAGCGGAAUAUGUCAUGUAGCGGUGAAAUGCUUAGAUAUGACAUAGAACACCAAUUGCGAAGGCAGCUUACUACGGAUACAUUGACACUGAGGCACGAAAGCGUGGGGAUCAAACAGGAUUAGAUACCCUGGUAGUCCACGCCCUAAACGAUGGAUACUCGACAUCAGCGAUACACUGUUGGUGUCUGAGNGAGNAUAGUAUCCACCNGAGAGAGCGCAAGAUAGUUAAUUACGAAGAAGUUAGUAGGCGNGNGACGNGCGACGGACGACGACGAGGGAGGAGG
rnacentral:rRNA from 1 species